rnacentral:ncRNA from 2 species
CGGCGCGGGCACGUCAUGGGUUGUCCGGUUCGCCGGACCUAAGAGGGAAGUCGGCUGCAAUUGCCGGCGCUGCCCCCGCAACUGUGACCGGGGAGGCCCUUUCCACCAAGCCACUGGCUGCGUCUUUUUGCAAAAGGCAGGCCGGGAAGGCGGAAAAACAGGCCGUUGAUCCGGGAGCCAGGAGACCUGCCCAGGACGGUCGUUCCGC